AUUGAACGCUGGCGGCAGGCCUAACACAUGCAAGUCGAACGGUAACAGGAAGCAGCUUGCUGCUUCGCUGACGAGUGGCGGACGGGUGAGUAAUGUCUGGGAAACUGCCUGAUGGAGGGGGAUAACUACUGGAAACGGUAGCUAAUACCGCAUAACGUCGCAAGACCAAAGAGGGGGACCUUAGGGCCUCUUGCCAUCGGAUGUGCCCAGAUGGGAUUAGCUAGUAGGUGGGGUAACGGCUCACCUAGGCGACGAUCCCUAGCUGGUCUGAGAGGAUGACCAGCCACACUGGAACUGAGACACGGUCCAGACUCCUACGGGAGGCAGCAGUGGGGAAUAUUGCACAAUGGGCGCAAGCCUGAUGCAGCCAUGCCGCGUGUAUGAAGAAGGCCUUCGGGUUGCAAAGUACUUUCAGCGGGGAGGAAGGGAGUAAAGUUAAUACCUUUGCUCAUUGACGUUACCCGCAGAAGAAGCACCGGCUAACUCCGUG
rnacentral:rRNA from 1 species